rnacentral:lncRNA from 1 species
UGUCUUUUGAUUGGAGAAAUGUAUUUAUUUACAUUAAGUGCUAUUAUUGUUAGGUAAGCAUUUACUACUGCCAUUUUGUUACUUGUAUUUUGGCUGAUUUGUAACUCCUUUCCUCCUUUCUUCCCUUGUGGUUAGGUGAUUUUCCUGGUAGUGUGUUUUCAUUUCUUGCCUUUUAUUUUCAGUGUAUCUAUUAUAGGUUUUUAUUUGCGGUUACCAUGAGGCUUACAAAAAAUAUCUUAUAACAAGUUAUAUUAAAUAGAUGACAAAUUUGAUCCCAAGGAAAAGAAACAAAAAAACUAUAAAACUCUCCACCUUAAGUCCAUCUUCCUCUUGUACUCCCUGCACCUCUUUUAUAAGGUCAGUACUCCCUGCACCUCUUUUAUAAGGUCAUUGAUCCUACUCAAGAGAGGGCUGCCCUCAUGACUUAUCACCUCUUAAAGGCCCCAUCUCUUAAUAUUAUCACAUUGGUGAUUAAGUUUCAAUAUAUGAAUUUUGGGGGUACACAUUCAGACCAUAGCAGUCACUGAAUGUUUAACUGUAUUAGCUCUGAAUUUACCCAUGUGGUAGAUUGUUUAAUGACCCCAAAUCACCUCCCUUACCUCCCAAUUCCAGUUAUGCACUCCUCUUUAUAAUAUGUCUUUGCUUCACAUCCCAUCCAGAGGUGGUGUCCAUUUCUCCAGCCCCUUGAAUUUUGGCUGACUUUGUUUGCUUUGAUCAAUAGAAUGUGAUAGAAGUGAGGUUGUUUGAGUUCCUGAGCCUAGGUAUCAAGUAGCCUCGAAAGUGCUGCUUUCACCUCUUGGAACACUGCUCAGAACUGCUAAGUGAGGAAGCUAAUCUAGUCUACAGGAGACUGGAAAGCCACCUGGAGAAAUAUCGAGGCACUCCAGCCAGCACCAACUGCCAGACAUGUGAAUGAGGCUAUCUGAGCCCUCCAGCCAGAUAAUCAUCCAACUGCAUGGAGCUACUUAAGAAAGCACAGGCUAAACCAGCAGAGAAAUUGCCCGGCCAACUCACAGAAGUAUGAGAAAUGAUAAACUGUUGCUGUUUUAAGACACUAAGUUUUGGGGUGAUUUGUUACAUAGUAAUAGAUAGCUGACACAGCCUGUCAUAAUCUUUUAACCUGUAAUUAUAUUACAAGAGCUUAUUUCAUUAAGGGAACCUUUUACAAUUCCUCUGCAUUCUUGCAUUGUUCCUCAUGCAGAGAAAUUCUCUCUGUAAUGAAUGUUAUUUGCCUGCCUAAUAAGAGAACACUCUGAACUUCGAAGGUUAGUAGAGGAAGGAGAAUCUCAUAUGCGGAGUGCUACUUCUCCCUUUCUUCUCAUCACCAUCACCACCCUGGCAUGGAUAUAGACCCAGCUCCAGGUGAAGUUGGACCUACCAAAGACUUGGGAGCUGGAAUGCUACAACUACAUUCUCCAAGACUACCUUGUAGCUAGUUUCUGCAUGUGACCUAGCUAUCACCAAGAAGACAUAUUGCUUGAGACUAGGAGGCAGAGAUGCUAAAUGUGAAUGAUAGCUCUGCAGAGAGAGAGAUCAGAUCUUGCAAGUGCAGAGAACAAGACACCUGGAUUUCCUGGGACAGCUGCUCUGGGGAUUUUGGAUUCCAAAGGCCAGUUCUCUUGUCUUUCCAGAAAUUCUUACAAGAUAGUUGGCAGUCAUCCAUAAUCUCAGGAGAAGACAGCAAACUGGCCAAAAAGCAAAAGCAGAUGAGUCUCAUCCUGUUGCCCAGGCUGCA